CCAACAUGCUACUCAGCAGAAUUGUGAUAUUCGUCAAACCGAUGCGCUAGAAAAAUGCUUAGUUGCUGUUAAUAGGUCUUCAGUUUUUAGGGAGAAUGUUGCAGCACCAACUGCUGUUGCGCAUGGGGUCGUUUAUGAUAAUAAGUGGACAGAGGCUGAAGGCACAAUUAUUCUGAACGCCAAGCAAACUGCACAAAAGAGAGGUGAAUUUUCUAGGACCGGUGGGCCUUCUUCUUACUUGGCUUCUAUGGUUCAACUUAAUGAAGGUAGUAAUUCUAAUAUUAAUUCGCAUUCUCUUCAUUGCUCAGAUAUGCCACAGAUUUACCCAGUUGCUGCUCCUAGGGCUGCAGAGUCUAGAAAAAAUAAUGAUGUACCUUUUGAUGUAGUGAGCAGGACUGUUGGUAGAGAGGGGCAUGUAGAUGCCGAUGCAUUUAACCUGAACACCAUAUGCCAUGACUCUGGGAAAAAGGCAGCUGCACC
rnacentral:misc_RNA from 1 species